CACCGUCACUCUGCUGUUGUCUCCGCCCAUCAGUGAGAUGUGGUCUUUGACCCAGCGUAGCGCUGACUCCUGGUCCGAGAGGCCGUAGUUACCACGGAGACCAGACUCACCUGGAGAAAGAGGUGGAGAGGAGGCCAGUACCGGGUUUCUGGUACCAGCCAAAGGGGUCCGGUGUGGUCUUCACUGCUGACGGUCUGCAGUCCUGAGUCCUCCAGGUCGUCACGUCGUCUUCACUGCAGGUGUUAUCGGGCACUCUGUCCAGCAGGGGGCGGCAGGGUCGUCUCAGAGGUUUAUCGUAAGCUCCACAAACUCUGCUGUCCGGAUACAAUGAGCAGCUGAAGAAACCCGUCGAGUCUGCAUCUCUGAGGUCAGCAACCGAGCACUGCGGCUCUUCUUCACAACCUGAAACCACACAGCGUCUCAGGACUGAUGGAGGAAACCGCUGAGGAGCAACGCCGACGUCAUACCAGCAUGACCUGAAAGACUGAGGCAGCUGUCCCGACACAGACACUAACCUGUCCGAGCAUUUUUCAGGGCUUCCAGCAUAUAAACAGCAUGGCUAAUGACAGGCCAACUAUCAAUCGGUUUGCCCUCCUGUGCUCCACAUGCAGAGAACUGAAGCUGCUACACGAUUGGUCAA